UACGAAGGGUGCAAACGUUGCUCGGAAUUAUUGGGCGUAAAGCGCACGUAGGCGGCUUUGUAAGUUAGAGGUGAAAGCCUGGUGCUCAACACCAGAAUUGCCUUUAAGACUGCAUCGCUUGAACGUCGGAGAGGUGAGUGGAAUUCCGAGUGUAGAGGUGAAAUUCGUAGAUAUUCGGAAGAACACCAGUGGCGAAGGCGGCUCACUGGACGACUGUUGACGCUGAGGUGCGAAAGCGUGGGGAGCAACAGG
rnacentral:rRNA from 1 species